CUGCCUUUUCCAGCAUGAGAUUAUUCACUCGACGAUGUCACGACUCCCAAGUCUGAUGUCAUGGUUGUUUCCACAGCAACCAAAUUGAAUCAAGGAAUUAAAAACCAGGAGGAACUCACACAGAAUGGCAACACAACACAGGAGUGCCAUGAAGCAAGCCAUACCCUGCACAUGAUCCAAGAUCUCAACACGCCCAGCUGGUACAGUGCUAGCAUAGCUCAGCGAGGAAUAGCACAGCAUUGGAAACUCAGCACCUUGGCAUUGCACUGCUUUCUGAAUCCUGAUUAAAGGACACAAAAACGUGGUGGCACUGCAGGACUACUCCCGCUGGGGAUUAGGGUAGGGUUGCAGGGAGUGUCUCCUCCCACUGCAGCCCCUGUUUCCAUGCAGCCUCAGGGCACCUGGUGCAACCUCUGCCCACCUACAGGUGCCCAGCAGAGCUGCAGCUCCCCUUGGCCUGUGCAAUAUUCAGUGCUCAGAGACUGUGCUGCUCCUUGCUGGAGGAAGCCUGUAUUGCUAAUGGGAGAGGACAGAAGGAUGCAAGAUGAGCUGCUGUGCCAAGACUGCAUCAUUCUUUUCAGCCUCAGAGGUUUCCCCUAGACCCUCCUGCACUCAUCUUCCUCACCUGCAGGAGAUGCAUGCCUUGCCUUUCACUUGCCACAUGCAUCCUGCUCACUGUGCUUCAGUUUCUGAUGAUGCUGAAUACUCUCUUGCCCAACCCAAAGCCCCAAACCACCCCACUGUCCCACCCCUGUGUGAUACACCCUUUUCAGCACCCCACUGCAAAUGCUGGAGCAAAAAGUCCUGCUCCCCUAGCCAGACUGGGGCGAUCCAUGGCACACAGAGCAGGCAGCCCUCCUCAUAUGAAGGCUGCUUGAAGGAGAGUAUUUUUGCUGUGUCAGCAUCUCUGCUUCUCUAUCCCCUGUGUUUGCUGAUUGCAUCCUUGAAGCGUCACUGUCACGUUAGGUUUUCAGCAUGGAGCUGAGCCCUGAGCUCGGAGGGACAUGGAAAUCUGGGGAGGUCUUCUUCAGCAGAGUGCGAGAGGGGACAAAAAAAAAAGAGAAAGAGAAGGAACAACAUCUGCCUCCUCCUCCUGCCUUCUCCUUCCAUUCAACAGCAAGGCUCUUGCUCGAUUGGUAUGUGAUUGCUGAUGCUGUGAGAAGUGCUUGGGAGCCACCAGGUCAGGAUAAAGAGUCAGCACUGCCUACUCUGGGGCAAGGUGGAGGAACUUGGCAGAACCCCAGGACCUGGCAGCACACUCCUGGCAGUGCAGGAACCGAUGCUCGCACCAAGGAUGUGCCAUUCUCCAAAUCACUGCUGCUCACAGAGCUGCUGAAGAUAAACUUGACCUGUGUUACUGUGUCCAUCCUUUGGGUAUGCUGGAGAAAUCACUCCAGCUCUGUUCAACACCUGGGGCUGCACGUGGACUUCUAAUUAGAUCAAACCGCUGAUGAGAGAUUCGUGUCGAAUUAGCCCAAACAGUUCCAGAAAUCAUCUCUCUGAGGAGUCCAGCAGGCACACUGGGGAGGAUAGUGCUAAAGUUCUUUGGGAAACUGUUCUUUUCAAAGGACUAAAUGAGGAGCUCCCACUGUUUAGUCCCAACAGAUGAUUCUGGUUUUUGAAGAGGACUGAACGCAUUGAUGGGGCUUUCAGCGGAGCCCCUUUCAUGUGAGCACAAAAGGCUCUUUGUAGACCAUGUCAAUACAGUUGUGACUCAGAUGGCCACUGCGGUUGUAAUGUUGUCAGGCAUGUCUCUGGGCAGAAUGGUGUCUUCAUAGCAAGACCGUGUAAUGCCAUCGUUUGCACUGUAAUUUUGAAAUGGAAGCUUCUGGCAAAUGCACCAGCAGGAGCACAGGGGGGUUCGGUGUAAAAGGGUCAAAAUUCAGCUGGAUUACAAAAGCACAAUAGCCAGGACAUUAAAUGUACUUAUUGUUAUUGAACAAGGGGAUUGUGUGUGCGUGUACAUGUAGAAGGAGUGGUUUUUGUGAGAUUUCCCUCAAAAAGGCUGAUACAAGGAGACCCCUGGAGGAUGAACAUAUCCUUUUGGCUUGCCCCUAAACCUGACUAAUUACCCAGCGCCCAAGGCCCAACGCUAAGGGCAAAAAGCCCAGUAGGUCAGGUGAGAGCCCAGCACAAGUAUGCCUAUGGCCAUGGAGAAUGGCUUGCACUCCUAUUCCUGUUUAGAUGCCCACAGAUUUACUGCAGGCUGUGCACGAGGCUAAGGACAGGUUUGGAAGCCAGAUCUGUACUUAAUGGGAAGCUGGGCCAAGAUGCCGAGCAUUUGCCAAACAGCCCUUUGGCCGCUAUGUAAAUCCAUACCCACUGCAAAGUGAAUAAAGCGUUGAGGGAAAAACGAUGCUGGCUUGCA
ensembl:lncRNA